rnacentral:rRNA from 1 species
AACGAACGCUGGCGGCAUGCCUAACACAUGCAAGUCGAACGAGACCUUCGGGCCUAGUGGCGCACGGGUGCGCAACGCGUGGGAACCUGCCUUUAGGAUCGGAAUAACACCUCGAAAUGGGUGCUAAUACCGGAUAAUGACUUCGGACCAAAGAUUUAUCGCCUUUGGAUGGGGCCGCGUUGGUUUAGUUGGUUGGUAGGGUAAAAGCAUACCAAGGCGUCGUUCCAUAGCUGGUGUGUGAGGAGGAUCAGCCACACUGGGACUGGGACAUGGCCCAGACUCCUACGAGAGGCGGCAGAGGGGGAUAAUGGGCAAUAGGCGAGAGCCAGAUCCGGCACGGGCGCGUGAACGGUCAAGGCGUUAGGAUUGUAAAGCUCUAUUGCCCGGGAUGAUUGUGACAGUACCGGGAGAAUAAGCUCCGGCUAACUCCGUG